GACGAACGCUGGCGGCGUGCUUAACACAUGCAAGUCGAACGGAAAGGCCCUGCUUUUGUGGGGUGCUCGAGUGGCGAACGGGUGAGUAACACGUGAGUAACCUGCCCUUGACUUUGGGAUAACUUCAGGAAACUGGGGCUCAUACCGGAUAGGAGCUCCUGCUGCAUGGUGGGGGUUGGAAAGUUUCGGCGGUUGGGGAUGGACUCGCGGCUUAUCAGCUUGUUGGUGGGGUAGUGGCUUACCACGGCUUUGACGGGUAGCCGGCCUGAGAGGGUGACCGGCCACAUUGGGACUGAGAUACGGCCCAGACUCCUACGGGAGGCAGCAGUGGGGAAUAUUGCACAAUGGGCGGAAGCCUGAGGCAGCAACGCCGCGUGCGGGAUGACGGCCUGCGGGUUGUAAACCGCUUUCGCCUGUGACGAAGCGUGAGUGACGGUAAUGGGUAAAGAAGCACCGGCUAACUACGUG
rnacentral:rRNA from 1 species